UCCAGACUCCUACGGGAGGCAGCAGUGGGGAAUAUUGCACAAUGGGGGAAACCCUGAUGCAGCGACGCCGCGUGAGUGAAGAAGUAUUUCGGUAUGUAAAGCCCUAUCAGCAGGGAAGAGAAUGACGGUACCUGACUAAGAAGCCCCGGCUAACUACGUGCCAGCAGCCGCGGUAAUACGUAGGGGGCAAGCGUUAUCCGGAUUUACUGGGUGUAAAGGGAGCGUAGACGGUUGUGCAAGUCUGAAGUGAAAGCCCGCGGCUCAACUGCGGAACGGCUUUGGAAACUGUGUAACUGGAGUGCUGGAGAGGUAAGCGGAAUUCCUGGUGUAGCGGUGAAAUGCGUAGAGAUCAGGAGGAAUACCGGCGGCGAAGGCGGCUUACUGGACAGUAACUGACGUUGAGGCUCGAAAGCGUGGGGAGCAAACAGGAUUAGAUACCCCUGUA
rnacentral:rRNA from 1 species